UGGAGGCCAGAUUGUUCCUUUGGGGAAGUCAUCACUUCCCAUUUGUAACGGAUGCGUAAUCUUGAUGAUAUGGAGAGGCCUGCGAAUAUUCUCCUGUACCCACUGACUGCUCACCUGGUUAGGAGCUGGGAGACUCAUCUGUCUCUUAAAGGGCCAGCACUUCUGCUGGUGUAUGGCUCUUAUGCAAGGCCACACAGGAGUCCAGGGGCUGGCUUCUGUUCCCAGAGAGUUAUUUUUCCACCAGCUGCAGAAUCUUGGUCUCUGAGGACAGCCCAGUGUGAUGUCUGCUAGUCCUCUAGAACCCUGGGAGUCAGGAGAAGAAAACUGCUCUUUGCACGUGACCCUCGAGGCUCGGAGGUUGCAAGAACACGCGUGAACACACAAAGCCUUUCUGAGCC
rnacentral:lncRNA from 1 species